rnacentral:rRNA from 1 species
UCCUACGGGAGGCAGCAGUGGGGAAUAUUGCACAAUGGGCGAAAGCCUGAUGCAGCAACGCCGCGUGAAGGAAGACGGUUUUCGGAUUGUAAACUUCUGUUCUUAGUGAAGAAAAAUGACGGUAGCUAAGGAGCAAGCCACGGCUAACUACGUGCCAGCAGCCGCGGUAAUACGUAGGUGGCAAGCGUUGUCCGGAUUUAUUGGGCGUAAAGCGAGUGCAGGCGGUUCAAAAAGUCUGA